AGGGGAUGAAAUGUAUAACCCGUACUCUAAUAUCAUUUGGCAACUUGCCACUCAUGCCACCAACCAGGUGAAGAAGGAACUCAUUUUCAUGCCACCAACCAGGUGAUGAAAUGUACAACCCGUACUUUCCUUCAUGCCACAAACCAGGUGAUGAAAUGUACAACUCGUACUCUAAUAUCAUUUGGCAACUUGCCAUUUAUGCCACCAACCAGGUGAUGAAAUGUACAACCCGUACUAUAAUAUCAUUUGGCAAUUUGCCAUUCAUGAACUCAUCCUCGUGCCACCAACCAGGUGAAGAAUGAACUCAUCCUCGUGCCACCAACCAGGUGAUGAAAUAUGAUGAAAGGGGAUGAAGGAACUCACAUUCGUACCACUAACCAAGUGAUGAAAGUAACUCACCAUUCAUUCCACCUACUAGAAGAUGAGUGGUACAACUUGUACAUGUGAACUCCUAGCAUUACAAAUAAUCAAAAACCCUUAAGCUUGACAACUCAACUAAGGGAGCACUUAUGCCCAACAAGAGUUAUAGUCACCAACAAAGUCUUAUUGCAAGCCAACAACAACUUCAGUGCAUGGCAUACGAAGAUCAAGCUAUUCAGCCCUCUUGCAUUUGCUUCAGACAUUUCCCCUCUAUAACAAUGCAAACACUACAACUCGUACAAAGUUUCACACACUCUUGAUCAAGACAAUGUGAAGCAAAACCAAUUUAUGGUGCCAACAAAAGCUUCAUCAAAGGAGUUCAACCAU
rnacentral:lncRNA from 1 species